GAUGAACGCUGACAGAAUGCUUAACACAUGCAAGUCAUCUGAGGCGGACGGGUGAGUAACGCGUAAAGAACUUGCCUCACGGAUAGGGACAACAUUUGUAAACGAAUGCUAAUACCUGAUACUGUGAGAGAGCUGUGCGUCCGAUUAGUUAGUUGGAGAGGUAACGGCUCACCAAGGCGAUGCUGGGUAGCCGGCCUGAGAGGGUGAUCGGCCACAAGGUGAGUGAGACACGACCCGUACUCCGUCGGGAGGUAGCAGGGAGGAAUAUUGGACAAUGGACCAAAGUCUGAUCCAGCAAUUAUGUGUGCACGAUGAAGUUUUCGGAAGGUAAAGGGCUUUCAGUUGGUAAGCGGGACCAACAGAAGAAGUGACGGCUAAAUAAGUGCCAGCCGGGCGGUAAAAC
rnacentral:rRNA from 1 species